AGGAUGAACGCUGGCGGUGUGCCUAAUACAUGCAAGUCGAACGAGACCUUCGGGUCGAGUGGCGGACGGGUGAGUAACACGUUGGUACCUACCCCGAAGUGGGAAUAACUGCCCGAAAGGGUGGCUAAUACCGCAUAAUACCGCAAGGUUAAAGCGAGUAAUCGCGCUUCGGGAGGGGCCUGCGUCCCAUUAGCUAGUUGGUAGGGUAAUGGCCUACCAAGGCGACGAUGGGUAGCUGGAUCGAGAGGUUGACCAGCCACACUGGGACUGAGAUACGGCCCAGACUCCUACGGGAGGCAGCAGUAAGGAAUCUUCCACAAUGGACGAAAGUCUGAUGGAGCAACACCGCGUGCAGGAUGACGGUCUUCGGAUUGUAAACUGCUUUUAUAUGGAAGAUUAUGACGGUACCAUAUGAAUAAGGACCGGCUAACUACGUGCCAGCAGCCGC
rnacentral:rRNA from 1 species